UUUUCAAACAGAAAAAGAAAAAAAAAAAACAAGAAAAGCAAAUAAAAAAAAAAAAAUUGUAUGUUUUGAUCGUUUUUUUCAAUAUUGACCACUCUAAUAGACUCUCAUCUUUUUUCUUUUUUUUUCAAUAUUAUUUUCUUUCAACUUGCAUAUCGAUAUUCAAUAGGAGAAGG
rnacentral:ribozyme from 1 species